rnacentral:misc_RNA from 1 species
UGUUCGAGCGUCAUUACAACCCUCAAGCUCAGCUUGGUAUUAGGCUUCACCCUCAGGGGUGGGCUUUAAAAUCAGUGGCGGUGCCAUUUGGCUUCAAGCGUAGUAAUUUUCUCGCUUUGGAGACUGGGUGUACAUUUGCCAAUAACCCAAUAAUUUUAAAGGUUGACCUCGGAUCAGGUAGGGAUACCCGCUGAACUUAA